rnacentral:sRNA from 1 species
AAAACCCGCCGCUUGCGCGGCGGGCUUGCUUUGGUACUGAAAGCACUAAAGUAUGCAUAUACUAUUGU